CUCCCACGUGGUCUAGUGGUUA
rnacentral:miRNA from 1 species